ACCCACCAUCAGUCAUGUGAUGGUACGAAAGAGGCAGACCUGGGGAACUGAAACAUCUAAGUACCCAGAGGAAAAGUAAUCAAUUGAGAUUCCCUAAGUAGCGGCGAGCGAAAGGGGAAGAGCCCAAACCAUGAAACUUCGGUUUUGUGGGGUUGAGGACCGGCAAAAAGAGGAAACUUCUUAGUCGAAUGGUUUGGAAAGGCCAUGCACAGAAGGUAAAACACCUGUAGGCGAAAAGAAGUCAAUCGGGCUGGUAUCCAGAGUACUGCGAGACACGUGAAACCUUGCAGGAAGCAGGGGGGACCACCCUCCAAGGCAAAAUACUACUUGGCGACCGAUAGCGCAUAGUACCGUGAGGGAAAGGUGAAAAGAACCCCGGGAGGGGAGUGAAAUAGAACCUGAAACCGUAUGUCUACAAGCAGUCGAAGCACCUUAAGAGUGCGACGGCGUGCCUAUUGAAGAA
rnacentral:rRNA from 1 species